UACGUAGGGGGCAAGCGUUGUCCGGAAUCAUUGGGCGUAAAGCGCGCGUAGGCGGCUCGGUAAGUCUGCUGUGAAAGUCCGGGGCUCAACCCUGGAAGGCCGGUGGAAACUGUCGGGCUAGAGUCCGGAAGAGGCGAGUGGAAUUCCCGGUGUAGCGGUGAAAUGCGUAGAGAUCAGGAGGAACACCCGUGGCGAAGGCGGCGCGCUGGGUAGAAACUGACGCUGAGGGGCGAAAGCGUGGGGAGCAAACAGG
rnacentral:rRNA from 1 species